GGGUUGUGAGGUUAAGCGACUAAGCGUACACGGUGGAUGCCCUGGCAGUCAGAGGCGAUGAAGGACGUGCUAAUCUGCGAUAAGCGUCGGUGAGGUGAUAUGAACCGUUAUAACCGGCGAUUUCCGAAUGGGGAAACCCAGUGUGUUUCGACACACUAUCAUUAACUGAAUCCAUAGGUUAAUGAGGCGAACCGGGGGAACUGAAACAUCUAAGUACCCCGAGGAAAAGAAAUCAACCGAGAUUCCCCCAGUAGCGGCGAGCGAACGGGGAGGAGCCCAGAGCCUGAAUCAGUGUGUGUGUUAGUGGAAGCGUCUGGAAAGGCGCGCGAUACAGGGUGACAGCCCCGUACACAAAAAUGCACAUAUUGUGAGCUCGAUGAGUAGGGCGGGACACGUGGUAUCCUGUCUGAAUAUGGGGGGACCAUCCUCCAAGGCUAAAUACUCCUGACUGACCGAUAGUGAACCAGUACCGUGAGGGAAAGGCGAAAAGAACCCCGGCGAGGGGAGUGAAAAAGAACCUGAAACCGUGUACGUACAAGCAGUGGGAGCCUCUUAAUGGGGUGACUGCGUACCUUUUGUAUAAUGGGUCAGCGACUUAUAUUCUGUAGCAAGGUUAACCGAAUAGGGGAGCCGAAGGGAAACCGAGUCUUAACUGGGCGUUAAGUUGCAGGGUAUAGACCCGAAACCCGGUGAUCUAGCCAUGGGCAGGUUGAAGGUUGGGUAACACUAACUGGAGGACCGAACCGACUAAUGUUGAAAAAUUAGCGGAUGACUUGUGGCUGGGGGUGAAAGGCCAAUCAAACCGGGAGAUAGCUGGUUCUCCCCGAAAGCUAUUUAGGUAGCGCCUCGUGAAUUCAUCUCCGGGGGUAGAGCACUGUUUCGGCAAGGGGGUCAUCCCGACUUACCAACCCGAUGCAAACUGCGAAUACCGGAGAAUGUUAUCACGGGAGACACACGGCGGGUGCUAACGUCCGUCGUGAAGAGGGAAACAACCCAGACCGCCAGCUAAGGUCCCAAAGUCAUGGUUAAGUGGGAAACGAUGUGGGAAGGCCCAGACAGCCAGGAUGUUGGCUUAGAAGCAGCCAUCAUUUAAAGAAAGCGUAAUAGCUCACUGGUCGAGUCGGCCUGCGCGGAAGAUGUAACGGGGCUAAACCAUGCACCGAAGCUGCGGCAGCGACACUAUGUGUUGUUGGGUAGGGGAGCGUUCUGUAAGCCUGUGAAGGUGGCCUGUGAGGGUUGCUGGAGGUAUCAGAAGUGCGAAUGCUGACAUAAGUAACGAUAAAGCGGGUGAAAAGCCCGCUCGCCGGAAGACCAAGGGUUCCUGUCCAACGUUAAUCGGGGCAGGGUGAGUCGACCCCUAAGGCGAGGCCGAAAGGCGUAGUCGAUGGGAAACAGGUUAAUAUUCCUGUACUUGGUGUUACUGCGAAGGGGGGACGGAGAAGGCUAUGUUGGCCGGGCGACGGUUGUCCCGGUUUAAGCGUGUAGGCUGGUUUUCCAGGCAAAUCCGGAAAAUCAAGGCUGAGGCGUGAUGACGAGGCACUACGGUGCUGAAGCGACAAAUGCCCUGCUUCCAGGAAAAGCCUCUAAGCAUCAGGUAACAUCAAAUCGUACCCCAAACCGACACAGGUGGUCAGGUAGAGAAUACCAAGGCGCUUGAGAGAACUCGGGUGAAGGAACUAGGCAAAAUGGUGCCGUAACUUCGGGAGAAGGCACGCUGAUAUGUAGGUGAAGCGACUUGCUCGUGGAGCUGAAAUCAGUCGAAGAUACCAGCUGGCUGCAACUGUUUAUUAAAAACACAGCACUGUGCAAACACGAAAGUGGACGUAUACGGUGUGACGCCUGCCCGGUGCCGGAAGGUUAAUUGAUGGGGUUAGCGGUAACGCGAAGCUCUUGAUCGAAGCCCCGGUAAACGGCGGCCGUAACUAUAACGGUCCUAAGGUAGCGAAAUUCCUUGUCGGGUAAGUUCCGACCUGCACGAAUGGCGUAAUGAUGGCCAGGCUGUCUCCACCCGAGACUCAGUGAAAUUGAACUCGCUGUGAAGAUGCAGUGUACCCGCGGCAAGACGGAAAGACCCCGUGAACCUUUACUAUAGCUUGACA
rnacentral:rRNA from 1 species